rnacentral:rRNA from 1 species
GACUGCGUACCUUUUGUAUAAUGGGUCAGCGACUUAUAUUCUGUAGCAAGGUUAACCGAAUAGGGGAGCCGAAGGGAAACCGAGUCUUAACUGGGCGUUAAGUUGCAGGGUAUAGACCCGAAACCCGGUGAUCUAGCCAUGGGCAGGUUGAAGGUUGGGUAACACUAACUGGAGGACCGAACCGACUAAUGUUGAAAAAUUAGCGGAUGACUUGUGGCUGGGGGUGAAAGGCCAAUCAAACCGGGAGAUAGCUGGUUCUCCCCGAAAGCUAUUUAGGUAGCGCCUCGUGAAUUCAUCUCCGGGGGUAGAGCACUGUUUCGGCAAGGGGGUCAUCCCGACUUACCAACCCGAUGCAAACUGCGAAUACCGGAGAAUGUUAUCACGGGAGACACACGGCGGGUGCUAACGUCCGUCGUGAAGAGGGAAACAACCCAGACCGCCAGCUAAGGUCCCAAAGUCAUGGUUAAG